rnacentral:rRNA from 1 species
GACGAACGCUGGCGGCGUGCCUAACACAUGCAAGUCGAACGGAGUUAUUACUUAAGUUUACUUUUGUAAUGACUUAGUGGCGAACGGGUGAGUAACGCGUGGGUAACCUGCCCUUAAGACCGGGACAACAGCUGGAAACGGCUGCUAAUACCGGAUGUAUUGUCCGAGAGGCAUCUCUUGGAGAAGAAAGCUGGCCUCUGAAAAUGCUAGCGCUUAGGGAUGGACCCGCGUCUGAUUAGCUAGUUGGUGGGGUAGAGGCCUACCAAGGCGACGAUCAGUAGCCGGCCUGAGAGGGUAAACGGCCACACUGGGACUGAGACACGGCCCAGACUCCUACGGGAGGCAGCAGUGGGGAAUCUUCCGCAAUGGACGAAAGUCUGACGGAGCAACGCCGCGUGUAUGAAGAAGGCCUUCGGGUUGUAAAAUACUGUUGUUAGGGAAGAACGGCAUCUGUGUAAAUAAUGCAGGUGAUUGACGGUACCUAACGAGGAAGCCCCGGCUAACUACGUGCCAGCAGCCGCGGUAAUACGUAGGGGGCAAGCGUUGUCCGGAAUCAUUGGGCGUAAAGGGCGCGUAGGCGGCAAUAUAAGUCUGAUGUGAAAGUGCGGAGCUUAACU